GAGCGCGUAGCUCAGCUGGUAGAGCAACUGACUUUUAAUCAGUAGGUCCAGGGUUCGAGCCCCUGCGCGCUCACCA
rnacentral:tRNA from 13 species